GGGGAGGUCUUCCAUCUUACUAUAUGGUUUCACUUUCUUUCCAAAAUGGAUUCCUUCUCCAGUAUUCUUUGUCAGCGAGCCAAUAGCCUUUACCUAUGUCUAUCUUUCAAGUGAUUUUUGGCUUCGCUUGGCUUUUUCGAUUUAUUUAGCAUCGUACCCCUUCCUAGCGCCAACCUUCUGAUUGAAAAUAUCCCAAGGGCAGUCCUUAUGGACGACGCUGGCCUUUGUGCUCCAUUCAGCAAUUCCUUUCUUCAAUACAAAAACAAAUAGGCUGUCGUCGUCUGCUUCGAUCUACAAAAUUCUUUGGUUUUGCUUCGGUUUUAAACGAAUGAUGGAGUCCCAAGUUUCAGGUUCCAGCCAAAACAGUUACUGACAGUUACGAAUUUGGAGAUGGACGAUGACCAGUCCCAUUGGGAAACUUGAACUUGGAAUGUAAAAUUGGAAUUAUAGCUCCAAUGGAUUGAAUUCGCUUCGGCAUCCGACGCAAUGAAAUGGUAGUGUCAUAACAGUAGGACAUGAACAGGUGGACAAGAUGAACAGAAGUUCUAUCUGAGUAUGUACUGCAUCCCUGUAGCAUAUCCCAGUUUUGUGGAACCAAGAGUAGUGCGGAACAUUUCUAUAACUACAAUAGCAAUCUCCAUGAUUUGUGCCAAUGCUGAUCACCAAUAUAACAAUAACAAUGAAUUCUAUCCAAGAUUUGAGAUUCCUGAUUGGGCUGUAUAUUUCAAAACACAUAAAGCUUUUACACAUGGAGGACACAUGGGUGUUAUGGGUUUAGAAAGUUAACUGAACAAGAGAGAGACAGAGGCAUCAUAAAAAACCAUUCUUUAACUUAGUUUGGUAGAAGAUUGCUCCCCUUCGACUCUAGCCGAUUCAAGCAUGGUCUGCCACACCUAACCAUCACAUUCUUAAUAGAGUAGCAGACUACAAACAUCCAAGAAAACCGCGUGUUUCUACUAUACUUACAUUACACGAUCUGAUCUGUGCGGAGUGCUGCAACAACUUUUCUAUUCGCAAGUAUAUCUGCAACUUUGACUUGUUUGGUUGAAUCUGAUUUAUGGUAACUGCCAAUCCUAGGUUCUACGUAGCUACAUCGGGUGGAUAUAAACAUAGCGUCAGGGUACGGUAAAUACUGCGAAUUCAUUGGAGACGUAACAAAUGUGAUGCGCAUUCCUUUGAAAGGAUAUGUGCUCUUCAUGCCAUGUCACGCCCGUCUUACAAAAGAUCUUUCUAUGAAGGCAAAAAAACCAAGUUUUUCGUUGCUGAAAUCAUCCACUCAGUUGGUUUUUCAUUCUUCCUUCGCAUCAUAUUAAAUCGUUUCUAAUAGCUGCUGGUUUCUGAAGUCAUGGUGGUUCUUACACUACGUUUCUUGACAUUGACUGACGAUGAAGUGGAAGAUGAAAGUUGAGAAUUCAUUGAAGAGGUCAAUGCCAAAUCUUCUAGAGCUGAACCUCUGGCACGAUUUGAAGCGUACUUCUCAAGCCCGCUGUCGAUUUUCUCAAGCUCUUCGUCUAAGUCUCGCAGCAUAUUGCGGCGCUUGGUGAGCGAAUCUUGAAUGCUUGAACUGCGCUCAGCCAUAUCCUAAACAAAUAUAAAAACACUGGUGCUCUCAUAGCUUUUGGCAUUGCGAUAUUAAUGGAAGUGAUUAAGAUUUGAAAAUCAUUACUUUUGAGAAGAAUGAGUCUUUGGUAAGAUCGUCAACAUCGGUGGCGAUUGGUCGACGUUUGCUUUUAAUCUCUGCCAAGGCGUCAUCGAAGAAGCUGUCCUUCGUUUUCAUUCCUGCACUUUCCAGUAUCUGAUCGGAUACCGAUGGCAAAUUUAGACGUGAACGAUGGCGUCCUAGAAAAUCGUCUAGAGUGUCAGUUUAGCAAAGCCACAAACGUGAGUAACAACUCGUUCCCAUUGUCAUCAUUCAGUAUUAGUUACCUUCACCAUCAUCACCAGAAUAGUCUUUAAACGGAUCUCCGGUUGGUCUCCUGGUGGACGAACCAUCGUCUCCUCCACGACGAGGGACAGAUGGUGAGUAGUCUGAUGACCUGCGUGGAAAUUAAAAGUUUUCGUAUUAUAUGAAAAUCCUCUAGGAUGUUUAAGGUAACUUCACUCUUACCUGUAAUUGACUGGCUUGGAUCUGCCAUAAAGGGGGUCCUCUACUAAUCUUUCUGCAAACGUUUUAGGUCCGGGCAUGUCAGACGAUACGCCCGCGCUCUUUUUGUCCAAAUGUCUUAUCAUUGGCUGGUAGUAUUGUUGACCGACGUCAUAGUUGUAGUCAUAGACUUUCGUCGGUGGUCGUUUCCAGUUGGAGCCAACUCUUACGGUAGGUUUCUCCGACAUUGUGUUAUCUAGUCUUAAAUAAUCAAAUCAAAUUUAGUUGGCUUCAAAUAACAACUGGAUGUUUCCGGUACAAAUAAUGUCAAGCAUGUUAACUAGUCAACCGUGCCUUGUAGGGGGUGUCAAUCAAAACACCAUCAGACAUCUAACAAGCUAUGUUUAAAAACAGACCUGCACCUCUUUUAGCCGUGUUGGUGGAGACACCAGAGCGUAUACACAAUCGGUCAGGAAUGCAAACAGUACCAGCCUUCUUCCCAUUCUAUUUUUAGCGUUGACUGUCUUGCCGCAAAGUUACAGCAAAGCACACAAGACAAAGCUGGCAAGGCUUUUUACUAGUACUGAUCGUACUAUUUAUUGGUAGAUGAUUUUUCAAUCAGGCGGCUAAAUCGCUUUGAAUGCAUUGCCUACUCGCGGGGUGCUAUUGUUGCGCUUUUGCGAUUAGAAGUCCAGUGUAUCCGCAAGAGAAAGACAUAGGCUACUAUAAGUACUAUAGCAUUCAGCCCACGCUACGAAAUCCGGUAAUACAA